UACAGAGGUCUCAAGCGUUGUUCGGAUUCAUUGGGCGUAAAGGGCGCGUAGGCUGCGGGGCAAGUCGGGUGUGAAAUCUCAGAGCUCAACUCUGAAACUGCACUCGAUACUGCUUUGCUCGAGGACUGGAGAGGAGAUUGGAAUUCACGGUGUAGCAGUGGAAUGCGUAGAUAUCGGGAGGAACACCAGUGGCGAAGGCGGUUGCCUGGGGCUUUGCUGACGCUGAGGCGCGAAAGCGUGGGGAGCGAUCCGG
rnacentral:rRNA from 1 species